rnacentral:lncRNA from 1 species
AACCAUGUCAUUAAGGACAAGAUGUGAAGUAGCUGGAAUCUGUGAAAAUUUGGAUGUGGUCAGGGUAGGUUGUCCUUGGUACCAGCGAGGAACAGGUUCAUGCAGUGAAUCAAGGGUAUAGAAAUAUUACAAACUGGGUUCUCGGCUGGCUCCAAGCUUGUCAUUGGCCCUGAAAUCGUGGGCAUGUGAUGGUUUUCAAGCACCAUUUACAAACGACGGGCGGUUCGUGCCACCUCUUUCUAAUUGCCUCCUCAUGGUGGUGCAGGGGACACCCCCUCAGCCUGGCUGCCGUCGUCAGUUUCUUGCUUUUUGUUGUUUCUUCUCUGUACCCUAUUUAUUUUUUCUUUUUAUGGUCACACAUGUGGCAUGUGGAGGUUCCUAGGCUAGGGGUCGAAUCGGAGCUGUAGCUGCCGGCCUACACCACAGCCGCAGCAACAUGGGAUCUGAGCCGUGUCUGUGACCUACACCACAGCUCACAGCAACACCGGAUCCUUAACCCAUGGAGCAAGGCCAGAGAUUGAACCUGCAACCUCAUGGAUACUAGCUGAGUUCUGAACCCACUGAGCCACAACAGGAACGCCUCCUUCUCCUUCUUACUUGAAAAGGAUGAGUUGAUUUUGAGGGAGACUCAUGACCUGAUGACCUCUAGAUGGGUGGUCACCGUAGUUGAGAGAAAGACACUGGGCAGAUGAUUGUGGCCCCCAGGCAUCAGUUUCUUAUUCCUGAUUUGGGGACAGUCACCCCAGGGAUUGGUCCUGCUGCAGCGAGGUGAUGGGAACAGUUUUGCUUCCAGGAAAGGCAGAGAUGCUGGCGGGAGCAUCCGCAAGGUGUCCUCCAGGGAGGGGCUGGACCUGGCCAGGACCGGAUGCUGGCUCUCCUCCGCCUCCCUCCCUGUAUCCUCUGUGAUGCUCCCACCCACCUCCGCCUCCGCCUGCAUCACACCAAAGGUGGACUUGCCUAAGUCCUGGGUCAGCAUUUCCAAGAACCGUUUGCUUCCUCUGAAAACCUUAUCUGCGAGCGCGUUUCCGGCUUGCUGUGCGAGGAAUUAAACCCACCCCGCUGGCUUGCAAUAACUCCCCCGCCUGCUGCUUUGGAGACCUUGGUGUGUUUCCUUCAGCUUGAAACAGAAAUGCUUCAUGAAGAUGAGGUUUUUCUGUCCUUUCCAUACGGAGGAGUUGCCGCAUGUGAGUGGGAAGAACGUGUGUGACGUGGUGGCGUUCAGGGAGGCCACACAUCAUUAUCAUCAUCUGCGACCCUGAGGGCGGCCCCAGGCUGGCCGGCGACAGUUUACUGUGGUGCGUGGUGAUGCCGUAAAGGGAUGUUUAUACCCCCCACCCCUGACCCCUUGGCCAUUCAGAAAUUCAUAACUCUAGAAAUGCCUUCUGCAGAUCGAGCAUCUGUCUGUCUUCAGCAUCUCCCUAGCUUUAACCCGGAAACGUAAAGGCCACAAAGGAGGACAAAGGCAUAGGGUUCUUGGGGACAUGGCUCAGAUCGUCAGUGUUGAAAAAUGAGACACACGAACACGGGGAGAUCUCGACAAGCCUCUUUCCUUCUGCAGAAGGGCGCAGGUGCUCCAAAAAGCACACGCGCCGAGCAAAGGACCCUCCCCUGUGGAUCCCUAACGCAGGUGAUGGACUGUCCCCUUCCCACGGGUCAGGUCAGGGCGCACAUUCUGCUCGGGUGGCUCAUUUGAAACACAUGGUUCCUGGGAGAAGAGGGUAAAGACGAGGGGGGUCGCAGGAGGGCGAAACCAGAGAAAAAUGGAGUCACCAAGAUUUCCUUCGAGAGAAAAGACAUUCUGUUACUUUCCACAGAUGGACCAGAACAUAAAAAGUCGCUGGACCAUCAACUAAUCACCCACCCCUCUCCGGGCACCAUGGGAGUGUUAGAAUCUUUCAUGACAGGGUCCGAGGCUGGCAUGGGAGAGGGGGACCAGCCACAUGGAGGCCAGGCUGGGGUGAGAUGGAGAGAAUGGGCAGAGCUGAAGAAUGUAGCCAAAAUCUGGCCUCUGUACCCGGGUACCGAAUGGAAUCUCAGAGAUGGAGUUUUGGGUGAAGUCAAAAAGAAUGCUUUAUGGUUUUGCCAGGCAAAGUGGGCCACCGCGGGCUGAUGCCCUCAAGACUGAGUCCCAACCCGGUGGUGGGAGUGGGUGUCAGGCUCAAGACUGAGUCCCAAUCCGGUGGUGGGAGUGGGUGUCAGGCGUUUCAUUGUCAAGGGGGCAGGGUUGCUGAUAAGGAUCCAGGUGCCUGCCGGGCCUGCAGGCCUUCAGUCUAGACCUCAGCUGGAGUCAAGUGUUUCUCCAUAGGCUUCUGUUGUUCUCAAGGUUACCAAACUGUGACCUUCCCUCUGGAAUGAAGGCUGCUUCAUCAAGGAGUUAACCUCUUCCCUGGGGAUGGGAAGCUCAAAGGUAAUUGUUCCGUGUUUCCUUGAGGAGGAACAGGACCUGCCCCCAGGCUGCACCAUUGUUUCUUGGCUGCUCCUCCCGAGUCUUUGCGUCCCUCCCUUCCUGGAUCAGCAGCUGCUUAAACUUGCCCUUUGGAACUCAGGGAAGGUCAUGGGGGCUGCAAGAAGUCUACUUGCAAAAAAACAAGAGAAGGGGGACCCAGAAAGGCUUUGGUACCCAGCCCCCCACCCCCAUCCCGGGCGUCCUACUCGGUUUCAAUACGGGGUCGGGGGGUGCAGUCCAAGGACAGGUGGAGACAUUGUUAUGGACUGAAUGCGCGCCCUCAAAAUGCACACGAGACCCUCCCCCCCCCCACAACGUGAUGGUGUCAGGGCCUCUGGAAGGUGAUUAAGAUUAGAAGAGGUUAUGGGUCUUGGGUCUUCAAGAAUGGAUUUGGUGGCCUAAUGAGAGUCACAGAGUUUAUGAGGACACAGUGAGGUCUGCAGCCCAGAAGAGGGCCACAGCGGGCACAGAGGCUGCCAGCGCCUUGACCGUGGGCUUCCCAGCCUCAGAACUAUGAGCAAUCGAUUUCUGUUGUGUAUAAGCCACCCAGUCUGUGGCAUUUGGUCCGAGCAGCCCAGACAGACUAAGACAGACUUGACCUGCCUGUGCCUCCAACUCAGACUCAAGACACGUGUCAUACUGCAGCCCCAACUCGAGGCUGGAAUCAGACAAGGAGACAGGAGGCGCACAUCCAAGGGAACACAGUAGGGCCACUUAUCCAAGUCAGUGACAAGGUACGAGGAACCACGAGCUCCUUGAGAGACGGCCGUCCAGCCCAAGUCAUGCCGGAAACGGAUGGCGAGACACGAGGACUGAAAUCAUAGUUCGGAGCUGGGCAGGGGAGCAACUCUAAGACACACGUGCAGAAUCUGAGUUCUGGCUCCACCAUUAACAAGCCAUGGGACGGCGUGUCUGUACCGGAGAUGGGCGUGAUGGUGCCUGUUGAAUAGGGCUGGGCUGAGCCUAAGUCAGCCAAGGCAUGAACACCUAACCCAACAAACCCCAGCUGCGACAAUGCCAGAUCCUUUAACCCACCGCGCCAGCCGGGAAUCGAACCCACGCCUCUGCAGUGACCCGAGCCUGCAGUGACCCUUUCUUUUUCAUUAUACAAAUCCCUAUCACCAUUCCAGAAUAACCAAAGAGUGCACCUUCUACUCCUGGGUAUUUUUAAAAGAGGACCACUCUUUCGGUCUAAAGGAAUGACUUGCAUAGAGUUAAAUUGCAAAUGCUUUGGCACUUGGGGGGCUCCCCAUCCUGUUGGGGCUGAGGCUGUGCAGGCACCUCUGCCCCUCCCUUCACGGUUCUCCACCCUCUCAGGACCACGGACAGCACCCGCGCUCUGCGGCUGCCGCUUGGGCGGGGCUCAGACAGGAGGUGCAGCUCGUGGGGGGGGGGGCGCUCUUCCCCUCCCCCUCCCACAGGCAGCUUCCGCUGGGCACCCCGGUAAGCAGCGGCCCUUGCUGGGGUCAGUCCCUGUCCCCUUCCAGCCUAAGCCUGGGGAAUGGCUACUGGCCCAGGUACUGUGCUGUCCUUAGCUGUGUGUCCCAAAUCUUGCCCACCCCUUUAAAAACUGUCCUCCGAUUUUGCUCUCCUCCCUCUCCCGCCAGGAGUGUGCCAUCUCUGUGCUGCCCUGGGCACUCCUGGAGCCCUUUAAGCCACACCCGGAUCAUUAUUACCAUGGCUUUGGAGCGCUUCCGAGAACAUUCAGCCUCGCUCCCUUUUCUCAUCACCUGUAACAGCUGACAUUUUAACCUUUGGCAUAGAGCUGCUCACAGGCCCGCCUAAUGGGCCCACAAAGCAGAGGAGAGAGAAAUGAAUGCUCCUUGCUUGCAGUUCCCUGUUUUAAUUAUGUAGAAUAUGGUAAUUUUAAAAAGCAUUACUGAGAUGCUUAGUCAAGUAGCAGGUGUUACAAAAUUGCAUUUUUAUUAUCCUUCCCCUUAGCAGACAUGGAAAUUAUGGUCUCCCCAGCUAUUUUACCACUCGCUAAAUGUUCCUUGUCAGUUAUCACAGAUAAUGCUUCUUUUUAAAUCCUAUGCCGACAAUGAGAGACUUUUAGCUUAAUUAAUUUUCUAUAUUAGAAGACUUUAUAUAAAUGUAAGAUAGUGGGAUUAGUAUUAUUAACAAGAAGCGUUAUCAUCAACUAUGAACGUAUUUAUAAUUUAUAUGUAUAGAAGGGAGUCCCUGCUGCAAAAAUAGGAAAAAUUAUGGGUAAAAUUUAUGGUCUCAACAUUAAAACUUUCCGCAGAGCUACACUUUCUAAGUAGGACAUAUCUGACCAAUGACUUGAUAUAAAUAAAUAGUAAUUGAUUAUCCAUGUAUUCUGAUGCAUCCAGCAUAUCCAAAAGAGAGAAACAUGCCCCCAAACUGCCCUAAUAAGAAGGAGGGAAGUUUGGGUGACGGGUGAAUAGGAGGCGGACGCCUGGGAGGCCAGGAUGUGGAUUUGAAGACAAAAUACAUGCUCUCAAACCUUCUUAACCAUGAGCUGCGCACUCAGUACAGUUGAGAGAAAUGCAGCCUAUUGCACCACAUACGUUAUCCACAGACUAGACCACCUGCUCCGGUAGAGGGCGUCUCCUUCUAGCAUCAAGACAAAGAGACGUUUACUCACUGAAAGAAACUUUGGGGCAAUGGAGGGGAAAUACGGGAAAUACUCUUUUUCUUUUUGGGCUACACCAACAGCAUAUGCAGGUUCCCAGGCUAGGGGUCGAAUCAGAGCUAUAGCUGCAGGCCUACACCACAGCCACAGCCACGCCAGAUCUGAGCCGCAUCUGUGACCUACACCACAGCUCAUGGCAACACCAGAUCCUUAACCCACUGAGUGAGGCCAGGGAUCGAACCUAUGUCCUCAUGGAUGUCGGUCAGAUUCAUUUCCGCUGAGCCACGAUGGGCACUCCUCAGGGGAAAUAUUCUUGAUGGCAUCAGUGAACUGGUUUUCAAUCCCACAAGACUGUCCCCAAUUCAGAUGCCAAUCACAGGUAGUGGGUCCCAGAGUUCCCACUGUGGCUCAGCAGAAACAAAUCCGACUAGUAUCCAUGAGGACGUGGGUUCGAUCCCUGGCUUCGCGCAGUGGGUCGGAGAUCUGGCAUUGCUGUGAGCUGCAGUGUAGAUCAAAGACGUGGCUCGGAUUUGGCGUUGCUCUCGUGGCUGUGGUGUAGGCCUGCAGCUGUAGCUCGGAUUUGACCCCUAGCCUGCGAACUUCCAUAUACCGCAGGUGCGGCCCUAAAAAGCAAAAAAAAAACAAAAACAAAAACAAAAAA